rnacentral:lncRNA from 1 species
AGAGUGUAUAGGGAACUCAACAGUCCAAGUGGAUGCUGGGAUCCCAGGAAGCAGGUGUCUUCUUCCCGCAGGAACUGCUGGUCAGAGGUGCCAGGCCUGUGAUGCUCAUCAGGUGAGGAUGCUGGCAAGGCAGAGGAACACAGGCCUGUGUGAGUCCACAGGGUAGGAUGUCUUGACAGCCCCACUACCACACUGAAGGCCUGAGAGAUCCUGGAGGCAGCUGCGGCUCUUCAGUCUUUUGGAGUCACAAAAGAAACAGUUCUAAUUUCAGCCCAUGGAUGCAGCAGUGACAGAGUAGAGGACUUGUCAGCAAGAUCAAGGGCAAGCCAACAAAACGGAGCUGUCACGGAGGGUGCCACCACCACAGGAGGAUGGGCCUUCCUGCUUCAGAGAAUCUGAUCAAGAAAGCCCCUCUCAGGACUGCACAGCAGCCGGAACUCGAGUUGAUAAUAGCUCGUCAAGGUGACAGGCAAGAGGAGGCAUCACAGGAGCCGUCACUUGUUAUUUGAGACAGGGUCUCUCACUGGCCUGGGCUCUGGCUGGCCAGUGAACACCAGGGCUUUUCUGUUUCUGCCUCUGUGGCAGGUGGAUUACAACACGACCCGCUGGGCCUGGCUUCUUUCACUUGAGUUCUAGGGAGCCAACUCAGCCUGAUUCUCCAAAGGCAAGCGCUGUACCAACUGUGUUACCUCCCAGCCCUAAACUGGGUUUCCGAUUCUUGUAAGCCAUGAAGUACUGACUAAUGUGGGGAUUGUUUUAGGAAGAUAAUGAUAACACACCAGACCUGGUUGUACACACCUUCAGUCUCAGCACUCAGGACAGCAGAGGGGGGCAAAGCUUUGAGUUUGAGACCAGCCCGCUCUACAUAGCAAGGCCCAGGACAGCCAGGGAUAUGCAGCAAGGCAUCUAUUGAGGGGUUAGGGGAGAAGGACAGAGAGGGACAGAGACAGAGAAAGAGACAGACAGAGAGACAGAGACAGACACAGAGAAUAUAACAGUUGUGACACAUGCCUGUAAGCCUAGCACUCGAAGGCAGAAACAGUAGGAUUGAGAAUUGAGCCUGGGCUACACAGAAAAGAACUUGUCUCAAAAAAAAAAAUAAUAAGCAAAACUAAACAAAUAAAAAAUAGACCGAUUCUAUUUAAUAAUAUGCCAAUGUCAUAAAUGAAUGUUUCUGUAAAGAACAUGACAAACAGAAAAACCACUAAGAGAGAGAGUAGCCUCCUUGUGUGAGCAGACUAUGUAUCUGGUGUAAACAGGAUGGGGCUUUUAUUUGGCUCCUCUGGUAUACUCUGUAACUCUAAGCUGCUGCAUUAAGCUCUCCUCAGUUUGAUGGAAUUGACUGUUUUUUUUUUCUUUCCCUUGUACAAAACCAAAACCAAACCCAACAAACAAACAAACCAAGCCCAGAAGGUGCCAAGCAUCGAGGACCAGUCCACCUCAAUGCCAGGGGCCACAGCAAGUGAGACACCUAGAACAAAGCAGGGGCUGAGACUGAGGUGCCUCACAUCUGCCUUCCUGUUCCCUGUACCUCUCCCUGAGUCCCACACAGCUCCAGGUACUUCAUCCCGUAUUCCACAGUACGGUACUCUCAUCCAAGCAUCCAGCAUGGCUGCCUGCUGGCUCUGAGCUCCUCUUGAGCAUGGCUGAAAUCCAGCUGGAGGCGUGUUACCCAGGCAAAGAACCUGGAGCAAAGUCAACACCCGGACUGCAGAGUUCUGUUCAUCUCCAUGUCCCCCUGGUGGAGAGGGAAAACAAGACAUAGCUUUGAAAUGUCUCCAAAGGAGA